rnacentral:rRNA from 1 species
UACGAAGGGGGCUAGCGUUGUUCGGAAUUACUGGGCGUAAAGCGCGCGCAGGCGGUUCUCCAAGUCAGUGGUGAAAGCCCGGAGCUCAACUCCGGAACUGCCAUUGAAACUGUUGAACUUGAGGACGAGAGAGGUGAGUGGAAUUCCCAGUGUAGAGGUGAAAUUCGUAGAUAUUGGGAAGAACACCGGUGGCGAAGGCGGCUCACUGGCUCGUUUCUGACGCUCAGGCGCGACAGCGUGGGGAUCGAAACAGG